GCGCCCGCCCCGCAGCCCGCGCCCGCCCGCCGCAAGUUUGUUCCCCGCCGCUGCGGCCUGCGCGGAGAGAGGAUCGCGCGCGGGGAGGCGCCGAGGGGCAGCAAGAGUGGAGAAAGUGCGGAAAGAAGCAACAGCCGCUCCACCCGCGGGCGGAAAAGUGGCCGGGCGCGGCGGCGGGAUGCGGCGCAGCUAACGGUCCCCGGCGGCCGCCGGAGCCGCUAGGCGCAGAGGCAGGCUGGCACCUGUGCAGUGGGAGAGAGUUCUUGUCACUGGUGACUCAUCGUGCAGGGAGCACAAGGAAGAGCAAGGGGAUAGUGUCUCACAAGUGUAGGGCUGGAGCUACAGGAACCAUCCAGGUGCACUGGCUUGGCCUCUGCGUCUUUCUGUGCCACUGUCUCAUUCUGUUUCCGGCUGUGCGUGGAUGCGGAUGGCCCAGAGAGCAUGGAAGGGGAAUAAACUGGACUGGACUUCCUGUCCACCCUCUACAACUAACAAGGACCUUUGGUGAUCUCGGCCCAAAGUGGUGUGAACUUCUCCUGGGACUGUCCCUCCCAGCAGCUCCAGAGCCACACUGCCUUGGAAGACCUGACAGACAGAUUGCUCCACCUUGA
ensembl:processed_transcript Gm10125 predicted gene 10125